rnacentral:sRNA from 1 species
AUUGAUGUCAAGAAAAAAGGAAAAAAAAA